UUACUCACCACAGGGAAGCUGGAAACCAGAUGCCAAUUCUGUUUUACUGCUCAGAGGGGUGAUGAACAAUUUCAGAGCGUUCUUAAGACCAUGCCUUCAUGGAGCGUGAUCUGACUAUAGUGGGAUGCCAUGUACGCUGGGGAGGCAGGAGGAGGAUCAGCAGUAGUAGAAUCACAAACCUGUGUUUUCAUUCUCCCUUGUAAGGAUUCCAGCCAAAUGCAAUAGCAGAUGCUUUUUGGUUUCUAGUGGAGCCAUUGGAGUUAAAUUCUUGGGCAUAGGAGUCAAACUCCUCUGGUUUCAGCAGGCCUGCGUUUAAGCAGCUGAAAGUAAAACCUGGCCCAUCUUUUUGAGGGAGAAAGCUAUUCAUCUCAAAAGGAUUUAUCGGAAGGGGACAGGAACACCAAAACGCAUCUCAGCGCUUCAAGGAAAAGAACGGAAAAUAGCCACGGACCAUAGGCAAAUGGACACUGAUGGAAAGGAAAGAAGAAGACUGCAAAGCUGAAGAACAGAGAGAUGUCUAAGAAGAUGGAGAGGGCCACUGGGCAACGUAGAGAAAAGACACAGCCUGUAACGCUGUCAAGGCUUUAUGCAGCAUUUUGUCUGGGUUUUGUUUGGCUCCUCGGACACAAACCAGCCACAGCAAUGCGAGAACAGACCGUCUUCUAUGGCCAAAAAGAAUUAGAGUCUCCAUCAAUACCUGGAGGAUGACUUUGAUGGCAGCACCCAAUCUGGCACCAGCACGUGGAAAUGCACUGCAGCUGCGCAGUUAGUCCUCAUGGAUGUGGGGAAAAUCCUCCUUUUUCUCCCCCAGUUUCAAAAGCAUGAGAUCCAUCACUGGCCACUUGGUAAGGCUGGAUGGCUCCGCAGCACGUGGUGGGAAAAAGAGGUGGCAGGAGAGAGCAUGCUUGAGAAGCAAUCAGUAAAUGGCUCUGAGGAGGAAACAUCCCUGCCCAUCACCGUAUAGAACAGAUGGGUGCAUGAAGGCUGAUGUGGUUCUGCAUAUCAUCAAGAUACAUGAUUCUGCACCAGAGGAACCUGGUUCAAGCAGAAAGACACCCAAGAUGCUGAAGUAACAAGGAGUAAUUUAUCCAAAGUCAUCUAGGACGCUAAGAGUGAAUUGCAGCCAGAUCAGAAGACUGAAUCAAAGAGCAUCUCUUAUCUCCCUUUGGAUUUUCGGUGAUCCUUGAUAGCCGAGAAAGCUGGGUGACAGCUAGAUCAUGACAGUAAAGAGAAAUGGAGAUGGGAGUAUUGGAGAUGAAACAAGGAGUCGGAACAGUGAAAAGAAGAGAUGCUUUUGGAAGAGCAGAGUGGCCAGUUCUGGUUUUACCUAGUUAAUUGUCUUCCAGCAAAGCCUGACUCUCUGUUAAUGCCAACAGUCGUAGCUGGAUGGAGGAUGCUAGUGAGUGUAUAAUGGCAGCUGCUUUUCCCUUGCAGUCUUUAUUACAAAGAUCUCAUUCUUGCCCUUAUGGGACCUAUCGAAAUCCUGAGUAUGGCAAGUGCCGGAGAACCAACCACUGUUGACAACUGGCUGGUCGUAGCAGGACACGAAAACCUUCAUUGCUUGGAGUUGGGUGAUUCAAGUAGCCUCCACGAUGUCUUGUCUUGGGCUGAACCAUCUACUGAGGGGAAAAGAAACAGAGGCACAGAUUUUAUGUCAGAAGAAGCUUUGAAGUAGUCUAUUAUAUGAAGAAUCAUCUGCAGACCCUUAAACAGGCGUAUUAUGCGAUAGACCUGCGGUGACACCUUUCCUCCCUCUGGCUGCAUAUCCAGGCAGCAGCACCCAAAUGGAGCCAGAGGAGCAGAAAAGGCCGCGGCAGCUGAAAGGGAGAGGCAGGACAGACGGAAAAGCCAGAGGGAUUUGCUGGAAAAGGGAAACAAAACCAAGGGCAGGGAAGAUGAGGCAUCCUCAGCCCAGAAGUAAAGGAGAAACAGGUUGUGAAAGUGGUCUAAAAAGAAGCAAGUGAACUGCGCUGCAGAGCCUAUGCAUUGUUCCUCUGUUGAUGGCUCGGGUCCAUGGCUUUUCUGCUGUCUCCAAAUCCUCUAUCUGGUUCAUGAUAUCAUUUUCCAGGCUGUGUCUUCACCUGGCAUGGAACAUUGACCACCAAGCCUCUGUCCUGUCCAACUAGCAAGUCACCUAGGACCAGCCACUUGGUAUUUUGAUCCCUUUCCCACGUUUCUUACCUGCUCAGUGCAGGAUUUGGCAUUUGCUUAUGUUAAACUACUUGAUGUUCUUGUCAGCCUGCCCAUCUUUCUCGCCCUCCACGAUAUCAACUGUUCCCCCCCCCCCCCCCCCAGUCUGAUACAAUCAGACAAUCUCUAUAAAGGUGCAUUUCUCCCAUUUCCCCUCUUGGAAGUGAAGGCAUUUAAAUAGCCCUGGCACCAGCACAGACACCUUUAGGAAUGCAUCUUGUAACCGGCUACUUUUUGAGCACGCCACGACGAGGAGGUCGAUAGAUCCGGUCAAAAGGAUUUCGUCCUGUGCCUACGGCUGCACCAACGCUCUAUUACAGCCCAGAAUUUAUUCCAGUCUGGGCAGCUGAAGAUGCCAGGCACCCGCUUGUUGCCGGGGCCCGAAGUUUCCU